rnacentral:rRNA from 1 species
CAGCAGCCGCGGGAAUACGGAGGGUGCGAGCGUUAAUCGGAAUUACUGGGCGUAAAGCGUGCGCAGGCGGUUUUGUAAGACAGGUGUGAAAUCCCCGGGCUUAACCUGGGAACUGCGCUUGUGACUGCACAGCUAGAGUAUGGCAGAGGGUGGUGGAAUUCCACGUGUAGCAGUGAAAUGCGUAGAGAUGUGGAGGAACACCGAUGGCGAAGGCAGCCCUCUGGGCCAAUACUGACGCUCAUGCACGAAAGCGUGGGGAGCAAACAGGAUUAGAUACCCGCGUAGUCCCUGUCUCUUAUAC